rnacentral:rRNA from 1 species
GACGAACGCUGGCGGCGUGCUUAACACAUGCAAGUCGAGCGAGGCCCCUCCCUUCGGGGAGGGUGCCCUAGCGGCGAACGGGUGAGUAACACGUGGGCAACCUGCCCUCAGCACGGGGAUAACUCCGGGAAACCGGGGCUAAUACCCGAUACGACCUUCGCGGGCAUCCGUGGAGGUGGAAAGUGUUAGUGGCUGAGGAUGGGCCCGCGGCCUAUCAGCUUGUCGGUGGGGUAACGGCCUACCAAGGCGACGACGGGUAGCCGGCCUGAGAGGGCGACCGGCCACACUGGGACUGAGACACGGCCCAGACUCCUACGGGAGGCAGCAGUGGGGAAUAUUGCGCAAUGGGCGAAAGCCUGACGCAGCGACGCCGCGUGAGGGAUGAAAGGCCCUUGGUUGUAAACCGUCUUUCUAGCAGGGACGAAGACGAAAGU